rnacentral:rRNA from 1 species
CCCUUAGAUGUUCUGGGCUGCACGCGUGCUACACUGAUAUUGCCAAUAUGUCAUUCUUAUCCGAAAUGGAUUGGGUAAUCAAGUAAUGAAAUUUCAUGCUUGGAAUCGGUAAUUGCAAUUUUAUCGUGAACGAGGAAUUCCUAGUAAGCACUAGUCAUCAGCUAAUGUUGAUUAUGUCCCUGCCCUUUGUACACACCGCCCGUCGCUACUACUGAUUGGGUGUUCAAGCGAGAUGCUUAGACCCUUGUUGCAUGGUUCAUUAUUGUGCUCCGAAAGGAAAAAGUUUCAAGCUUGAGUGUCUAGAGGAAGUAAAAGUCGUAACA